rnacentral:rRNA from 1 species
CCUACGGGUGGCAGCAGUGAGGAAUAUUGGUCAAUGGGCGAGAGCCUGAACCAGCCAAGUCGCGUGAGGGAGUACUGCCCUAUGGGUUGUAAACUUCUUUUAUAAAGGAAUAAAGUGAGGCACGUGUGCCUUUUUGUAUGUACUUUAUGAAUAAGGAUCGGCUAACUCCGUGCCAGCAGCCGCGGUAAUACGGAGGAUCCGAGCGUUAUCCGGAUUUAUUGGGUUUAAAGGGAGCGUAGAUGGGUUGUUAAGUCAGUUGUGAAAGUUUGCGGCUCAACCGUAAAAUUGCAAUUGAUACUGGCAGCCUUGAGUACAGUUGAGGUAGGCGGAAUUCGUGGUGUAGCGGUGAAAUGCUUAGAUAUCACGAAGAACUCCGAUUGCGAAGGCAGCUUACUAAACUGCCACUGACAUUGAUGCUCGAAAGUGUGGGUAUCAAACAGGAUUAGAUACCCUAGUAGUC